rnacentral:rRNA from 1 species
GAGAGGACCGGAGUGGACGCAUCACUGGUGUUCGGGUUGUCAUGCCAAUGGCACUGCCCGGUAGCUAAAUGCGGAAGAGAUAAGUGCUGAAAGCAUCUAAGCACGARACUUGCCCCGAGAUGAGUUCUCCCUGAGACUUUAAGUCUCCUGAAGGAACGUUAAAGACGAUGACGUUGAUAGGCCGGGUGUGUAAGCGCAGCGAUGCGUUGAGCUAACCGGUACUAAUGAACCGUGAGGCUUAACCUUACAACGCCGAAGCUGUU